rnacentral:lncRNA from 1 species
AACUCUCUUGCUUUUUCCGUGAUCCAGCGGAUGUUGGCAAUUUGAUCUCAAUAGCUCAGCUUCCCUCAAUAGCUCAGCUUCCCCAACUAAAGUGGUAUGUGCCAGGAGACAGAGACACACACUAGGUUUGGGAGGAAAAGGGCGCUUGGAACAUGUACAGAUAGAGCUCAAGACAAGAGCAGGUCAAAGGAAUGAAUGAGCCAGGACACAGUUAAAGACCGAUGUGCAUCUCUAGCUAGCUUUCCUUUUCUGCCUAUUUGCUUCAUACCCACACUGAAAAUCAAGCAGAAACACUGGUUUCUCUCAGUAUUCAUUCAUUUUCAUCUUUCAUUAAAGAUACUUCAUUUUCCCAUGCUUCUUCUUUGUCUUGCUAUGCUCCCAUUUAAUUAUUCGAUAAAUGAGGUGAUUAACCAGAAUGGGCUUUAUACCUUCUAUGCAACUGAAUUUUGCAAAGAAACCAAGACUGUCAGAAAUGUUACCGCUGCUAAAAAAUUAACAAAUGAAUGGUUACAAUUAUUGAAUCUCACCAAUCUGAUCAAUUCCAAACCCAAGUUGCUUAUUAUAUAAAAAAGUUUCGUAGGGAAGGGGAGCUGUAUUACCUCCAUAUGAAAGAUCAUCUGACAAAAGAUUUCAGUGAAUCCCCAGUUUUUUUUCAUGAAAAUGAUUAAUCAUUGUAGUGAUCACAAGUAUGCCCAGUAGAAAAUUAGGCUGAUUAAAAAUGUGAUUAAGGAAGCCAAUUAAGCAAGCAAUCUACCAAAAAUCAGCUUUUCUACACAAGAGGUAAUAAGAUGGUAUUUCUAUUUUCAAGAAGCCUCUUCUAAUGUAAUUUAAUUUUAAAAAUUAAUAGGAAUAAUUCACCUUAUACCAAUGCAGGGAAUUAGAAAAAUAGGAAGACCUGGCACUUUUUCUGAUGGUAGCGAUUAUGAUAAGUUAAAGCUUAAUUCAGAUUUUGUUGUGCCCUGAGCCACGUCCUUGGUCUUUCUGCAUUAUAAAUCCUUCUUGAUGCAUGAAGUUUCAUUGCUUUUUUUCUCUCACACCCUCUGCACAUCCUAACUCUCCCCCAAAAUAUAUCAAAUCCCAGAAGUCAAAUC